UUUAGGUGUUAUUUUUUUUAACACAAUAAAACAAUAUCAUUUUAAAUUAUGAUAUUUUCCUAUGUAUUUUCUGAGUGAUGUACUUGUAAUUUAUGAUCUAACAUCUUGGCCUUCCUAUCCUGGACAGACAUACUGAAGAUCCUCUGACAGACCAACCCAUUUUGUGCGUCGUAAUGAACCUGUAAUUAAUCAUCAAUACGGAACAUUGGUCUGUCUAUCCUGAAGGCACACACUGAAGAUGGCGAAAUGCCGAAACCCAGUCUGACAGAACAACCCAGUGACGAUAGUGAAACCAGGCGAUCGUUUGUCGAGCACGUUAACAGUUAUGGAUCGUUAAUUUGAGUUUUGUCAUAUUUUUUCCCAUCUGCUCUACGUCCGAACAUGCGAUGUCACCCCUUUCUGACUCGCAUCUCAUCAUCGCCGACCUAGGAUAAACUUUAACUGUUCUCAUAAUGAGUGGAUGCGGAAGCUGUCUUUUUUUUUCCCGAACGCGCCCGCCCCACCAAGUCAAAGAAGCCGGGUGUUUCUUUGUAGCAGGUGCACCAAGGAACUCUCUCUGAUCUUUUGAGAUCGGUUAUCGUUUUUUCGCUUCUUUUUCUCCACUUGAAUAUCCAGUUUUCAUUAAAAUAUCAAUCCCUGAUCUAUACGAAAGCAAUAUAAG